rnacentral:rRNA from 1 species
UGCGAGUCGAGCGGUAGAGAGGUGCUUGCACCUCUUGAGAGCGGCGGACGGGUGAGUAAUGCCUAGGAAUCUGCCUGGUAGUGGGGGAUAACGCUCGGAAACGGACGCUAAUACCGCAUACGUCCUACGGGAGAAAGCAGGGGACCUUCGGGCCUUGCGCUAUCAGAUGAGCCUAGGUCGGAUUAGCUAGUUGGUGGGGUAAUGGCUCACCAAGGCGACGAUCCGUAACUGGUCUGAGAGGAUGAUCAGUCACACUGGAACUGAGACACGGUCCAGACUCCUACGGGAGGCAGCAGUGGGGAAUAUUGGACAAUGGGCGAAAGCCUGAUCCAGCCAUGCCGCGUGUGUGAAGAAGGUCUUCGGAUUGUAAAGCACUUUAAGUUGGGAGGAAGGGCAUUAACCUAAUACGUUAGUGUUUUGACGUUACCGACAGAAUAAGCACCGGCUAACUCUGUGCCAGCAGCCGCGGUAAUACAGAGGGUGCAAGCGUUAAUCGGAAUUACUGGGCGUAAAGCGCGCGUAGGUGGUUCGUUAAGUUGGAUGUGAAAGCCCCGGGCUCAACCUGGGAACUGCAUUCAAAACUGUCGAGCUAGAGUAUGGUAGAGGGUGGUGGAAUUUCCUGUGUAGCGGUGAAAUGCGUAGAUAUAGGAAGGAACACCAGUGGCGAAAGCGACCACCUGGACUGAUACUGACACUGAGGUGCGAAAGCGUGGGGAGCAAACAGGAUU